rnacentral:tRNA from 1 species
UAAAAGAUAAGCUAAUAUAAGCUUUUGUGUUCAUACCUCAAAUAUAAGGCCCCCCCCCCUUUCUUUUUA